UGUAUGACGUCAUGACGCCUUCCGCGCGGUCUCGCGCAAAUCUGAAAUAGAGCAAAGAAGCUGGCCGCCAUUUUCCUCAGAGCUGGAACCGCGCGCCAUCAUCAAUCAACGGAUUCUGAAGACGACAUCAUCAAGGGAAUGGUGAUUGGAAUCCUUUUAGUAGCUGAAGGAACUCCUUCCACUUUCCUACAACGAUGUUGCUAUCGUGAUCGAGGAAAAGAUUGUCAUGUGUCACCUGCGUGAGGUACCCAACGCUUUUGUGAACCUGAUGGGACUGCUGUACAUGCUGAACCUUGACUAUCCAAAAGACUUCAAAUACACAAUUGAGGUGAUUCAGCGCCUAAUCAUGGGAAUUGGGUUGGUCUCCUGUACUGCCAAGGUCCACACACUGAAGAACAAAUUGCUCAGAUAGAGAGAUGGGCAUGUAAGAUGUCUCUGCAUUUGUCCCAAAGAAUUCUAUUUUUUUUGCCAUUUGUCCAUUGCACUAUGUAAGAGGGGAAAAAAUGUUUUCAUGCACUGAGACUGUAUUUUAUGGUGCAGAACAGCCAUUAACAGAGUGGAUAUUUGAGUAAUGUAUCAAGUAUGUUUCCAUGUUCUAAUUUAGCUCUGUUGCUCUAUUUGGAGGAAAUGUGUCUGAGACACGUAUUUUAUGUUGUGGAGCAACGAUGAACAGAGUCCUGUAUUAAGGGAACUCUAUGUAACUUCUGCAGAAAGAUAGUAGAUUGUCGAGUCUCAUUCCCAGGUCGUAAAAUACCCGUGGUUUGGUUUGAUUCUCAUUGUCACUUGUCCGAACCACCAACCCAAAAUGACGGUAUUUUACAACCAGAGAAUGAGACUCAACAAUCAACUAUCUUUCUUCAGAAGAUACAUAGUAUUGCUUUAAGUAUUUGUUCUGACAGACAGUUUCUCAGUUUGAGAAUUUUUUAAAACGUUUUUCUGCAUUUUACUGCAGCAACCCUCAACACUCACUCCCCUGACUGGAGUCUGUUGAACAAGUCACUUAUAAUCUUUUUUUUUUUUUCUUCAUUAAAGGAGGUUGCCCUGCUUUUUUACGUGUGGGACGCAAUUUUUUUGAGCAGCCAAAAGCAAGGAUGUGUGAGGGGGCCUGAAGGCUUUUGUUUUGUCUACACACUGAUUUUAGCUUUUAAAAGCAACACUGAACACUUGUGAGUGAGUGGGUCGAAGUUGAAAUACACUUUACAUGAAUAAAAUUCUUGACUGAAA